CACUGUCUUUUUAACGGCUGUUGCAGUGAUGUUAAGCCGAGAAAAGGUGGCUGUCCGUCGGGCACAAAGCUCCGCGAGAGCACGGGCUUUUAUAACCGUCAAUAAAGA